AUAAAUAUGACUGCAGCUGAUGAUAAAAGUCAACUACUGGAUUUAGUAAGUUGAUAAAGCCAGGAAUAAAUUAAACGCAAAUAAACAUAAAAUGUGAUCAAUCGGAUAUAUGACAGAAACAACUGCAGCAGUCUUUAAGUAUUACACUCUAAUGAACUUCGUGCAAUAUCGUCUUAUAUCGUACAUAUCCGUGUGAACAACUACGAAUAUUCGAUUAAUAUCGCUAUGAAAUACUAAAUGUAGGACCUGCAAGCUAAAUACAAUGACAACAAAUAUGGCCGACACUGUAUGUGCUAGGUUCGGUCGUUAAAAGAACAAGCAAUUUGCUAUGUCUAAAGAGAAAUAUUCAAAGACGUGUUUUUGAUGUUCAUAUAAUAUUUGACUGGAUUCUGAUGAUAAAAGUCAACUACUGAAUGGCAGUGUUGAUAAUUGUAAAGAAAACAAUUCGUGGAAAUACGCUCGCCCGGUGGUCGAAUUCCAAAUCUGUCAAGCGGUUGUUCUUCUUUGUAAACGUUUUCGGGCUCAUAGUUUCAUUAAACAGCAGAACUCGUAUGUAGAACAUAUGCUAUGUCGCAUACGGUAUGUUAUAUGAAAUAUUUUUCUUUUUUAUAAUAAUAUAACAUUAAUUAAAUUUACCAAACAAAUUGCAACAAAGUGCCCAUGCAUCAUUACGUAAUAUUGCGUCAUAUUUGUCAUGUUUUGACGCGUGAUUGUGUCAAAAGUUUGUACUUAGUACGUUCGUGUUUCGCAACGGGUCGACUACAAUAAACUCCUUAUCGCACUUUGGUGACCUAGUCCGCCAUUGUCAAUGUGAAUGACAAAUGACUGUAAUGUGUUACUCGAUGUGUUAGGCUUUAUCAAAACUUCACGAUUAUAACUAAAUAUAGAAAGUCCAUUGGCGAAUUCAUUUGCGAUAAUGUUCCAGAUAGAAAUUUAUGGUUUAAAUGAAAGUACAGUUACUUUUUAAAACAAGAGCGAAUGUUUAUAUUAUAUAGACACACAAUUUUGAAAGUUUCUCGAAUACAAUACUUGUUAAUAAUAUAACAAAACAACUACCUUAACGAAUUUGGCGCUCAAAUUCCGGAUAUCUACAGCACUUCACAUAUUUAAACAAGACCUAUAACUGGAUUUACGCAGAUGUAUUGUGCAUUAAACAAGGCGAAUAAUGUCAUUAUUAAGCCAGACAUUUUGUCUGUACCUUGCAUUGGUACUAACGGUGCCCAGUGGUGGGUUUCUGUUAAAUUGUAUGGAUCUCUGUGGACAUGAACUAGAAUCCGCUGCUUUCCACGCUGAAGGAUGCGACUGUGCGCUAAUGCCACAUCAGCCCCUAAGGACAACAACCACUAAAUCCACGCCCCAAACCACAACUUCUACUACGACAACGCGUCUAGCGGUGAGUACACUGUCAAUGUGCGACUACUUGUGUUCCAUUCAGAUGGGCGGCGCGGCGUGCUCCUGCUCAAAGCCAAUCAUACCAGGCCGUCGAAACUCUGGACAAAUCAUACCCGACCGUCAAAACUCUUGAGCAAUCAUACCAAGCCGUCGAAACGCUCGCCCAAUCAUAUCCGGCCGUCGAACGACAGACUGAAUCUAGUUGUAUUAUCAAGAUUAUACUUGUUUAUUUAUUAUCAAGAUUGAAUUGUGCAUAAUAUAUUAAUAUAUCUAAUAAAAUGGUUGUUUGGGGAAA